CCGGUCCCCGCAGAGCCUGCAGAACACCGGUCUCCAGCCGGGAAAGGCCCCAGUGCUUACUGGCCAGGUGCCCGGGAAACUGACCUCUCGAGGCCUCAGACUCUUUAUCGACCAAUGAAGAGAGAUGAGGACACAGACUUCGCAGAGUUGGCAAGUGUCACCCAGGAUAAUGGAUUUGAAGCCCUUGAUGGCAGUCCUGGCAUGGACUAAACCAUUGCCUCUGCAUCCCAUCUUGGAUCCCAUCCUCAAACCCACUCGAUCAUUCUCCGCAUUGCCCCCCACCGGGCACCCCGCCAUUUAGCUGACUCAGAUUGGGAUUUGCCUCCCUUUUUUGUUUCACUUCAUCAGAGAGGAAUAUUCCUCUCCAUCAUUAUGGAAUGAAAAACGGAUACAGUCGUGUUUCUGAAGGUCUUUUUUCUCUCCCAGUUUGUUUCCCAAAGGAGAAGAUCUGCAGAGCUGAUGGUUUCCCCAAAUCAAAGGGCUUGCCUUUCACGGCGAAGGACUCACAGCAACCGAGCGGGGCAAGGCGAGCUGUGGGUCAGUUCUGAGCUCGAACCCGAGGCUAAAGAUAGAACCUGUUCAUAAAGUUUCAAAUCUGUGGUAACAGCAGGCUGUCCACAAAAAAAACUGACCCUGCUAA